AUUAUCUUGGCAGAUUAGUGCAAUAAAUUUAGAAUUUAGUUAAGAAAUUUUUAUUUAAUUUCAGAUAAUA
rnacentral:tRNA from 1 species